UAAUCAACCUAUCCUAUUUGGCGGCCUUCGAUCUUAUUAGAGGAACUUGUUGUUUAACCGAUGAUACGCGAUAUUUUUAACUCAGACCUAAUUUUUAUACCUCCGUCCAAAGGGUAAAAUUAAAUAUUUUAUCCAUUCCAUACCUCACCAAGCAACCAUGUCAGGUCAAGGUGAAGUUAAUGUUUGAGUUUCGAUGAGUUAUCAAUAAAUAUAAUUUAUGGACUUUUAUUUAAAACUAAAAAUCGAAUUAAGAUUUAAAAGUAUUUCCAAUUCAAUUCAUUGGAAAGAAUCAGCAAAAAAGGUGUACAUAUCGCCCGUCGCCCUCGUCCAAAGAUGAGGUAAGUCGUAACACAGUUAAUAUACUGGAAAGUGUAUUAGGUGUAUUUCUGCUUAGCUUCAAGUAUUUCAUUUACACUGAAAAGAGGGUAUUUUUCUCAAAUUCUGACAUUAUUAAAUAAAAUCUUUGUUCUAACUGUUAUCUAAUUUAAAAUUUAAAAAACUGUAAAGGACCAACAUAAAAUACUUUAAGUAAAUCUAUGUACCUUUUGUGUCAGGGAUUUUCAAAUCAUAACGUAAAUUUCAAUCUCCCGAAAUAAGACGAACUUCAUACCCUAAUAAAAGUUAUGGCAUAAACAAUACAAAUUUCAUGAAGUUGAGAUAUUCUUUUCAAGUCUUCCUUUAUCUGGUUCACUUCAUUUUUUAAAAUAUAGUCCUAAGAACAAGCUUAGCACCUAAGUUUUUAUCCUCCCACCCUUUCACUCUAGAUCUAAUAGUAAUCAUAUUGUCUUCAAACUCUCCCCUUUACUUCGCCUUAAACAUUAUUCUAGUGAUUCCUCUUAUCCCUAUUACAAUGAAAAUAUCAGUAAAAAUUCUCUUUCCUUUAUUUUUAAACUCCUCCUUUUUAAUAAAUUUACAUUGAAUUUAUGAACUAGGCCCUCAGUCAAUUGACUGUUUACCAAAAACAUAGCUAAUAGGUUUCAACUACUAGUAAUACCUGCUCCA
rnacentral:rRNA from 1 species